GGUUGAUGGUACUGGAGAAGGAC
rnacentral:piRNA from 1 species